rnacentral:rRNA from 1 species
AUACGGAGGGGGCUAGCGUUGUUCGGAAUUACUGGGCGUAAAGCGCGCGUAGGCGGCCUGUCAAGUUGGAUGUGAAAGCCCGGGGCUCAACCCCGGAAUUGCAUUCAAAACUGGCAAGCUAGAGACCGAGAGAGGUGAGUGGAAUUCCGAGUGUAGAGGUGAAAUUCGUAGAUAUUCGGAGGAACAUCAGUGGCGAAGGCGGCUCACUGGCACGAUACUGACGCUGAGGUACGAAAGUGUGGGGAGCAAACAGAAUUAGAUACCCCAGUAGUCC